rnacentral:rRNA from 1 species
GAUGAACGCUGGCGGCGUGCCUAAUACAUGCAAGUCGAGCGAACGGACGAGAAGCUUGCUUCUCUGAUGUUAGCGGCGGACGGGUGAGUAACACGUGGAUAACCUACCUAUAAGACUGGGAUAACUUCGGGAAACCGGAGCUAAUACCGGAUAAUAUUUUGAACCGCAUGGUUCAAUAGUGAAAGGCGGUCUUGCUGUCACUUAUAGAUGGAUCCGCGCUGCAUUGGCUAGUUGGUAAGGUAACGGCUUACCAAGGCAACGAUGCAUAGCCGACCUGAGAGGGUGAUCGGCCACACGGGAACUGAGACACGGGCCAGGCUCCUGCGGGAGGCAGCAGGAGGGAAUCGUGCGCAAUGGACGAAGGCCGAACGGAGCAACGCGGCGUGAGGGAUGAAGGUCUUCGGAUCGUGGGACUCUGUUAUUAGGGGAGAACAGAUGUGUAGGUACCUGUGCACAUCGUGACGGUACCUGGUAAAGAAGCCACGGCUAACUACGUG